GGCCUGCACGAGGAGGGCAGAGUCCGUUGCGGCUGCCGCCCCGACGCCCGCGCAUCCCCGCUCGCCGCGCCCGCCGCCGCGAUGUCCGGGGCCGGCCUAGCCGCGGUGGUGAGCUGCCUGCGCCCGCAGCCCGGCGAGGAGCCGCAGACCCAUGAGGACCUUCUCCUGGCAGCUGCCUAUGUUUUGGAUGCCCAGUACAACAGAAAUGUUCCAUUUGAAACUCACCUCAGGCCAUCAGACGUUACUAUUUUUAUAACCACUAGACAACGCAGGUUGCCGCAUACUUCUUUAUUUGUGUAGACCUCGCUCUUGCCCUGUUUGAAGAGUCUGAGUUGCUUCCCCUGCCUUUCUUGGCCACCUCAAUAGCAGAAGUACUCUGCCUGACUGCAUACUUUGGCAGACUGGUACAUUUUGCAAAAGUCACUCCUCAAAUGGUUUUCUGGAAGGAUACAAAAGACAUCUGCACCAUGGUAACCACAGUGGCGAGUGUUCAUUGUAGUACCUGUAAGAGUUUAUGACCGAAGGCAGGAGCCAUGAAGAAAAAAGACUCAAUAGAUUUGCUUUUGAUGAAACAACAACACUUCCAUACAGUGAACGCCAUAAGCACAACUGCAAGCAAACCCCAAACUGAAGAACAAAUAGGGCAAAAUGUGGCAGUGCAGACAUUUCAGCAUAUCAAGAGCACUUCCAAAUUACAGGAAAAAAAAGAUAUCUCAAUAGAUAAUUUUGCUGAAGAUAAGUGAAGGCAACUCAUAAGGAAAAAAUAUGUAAAAUGGCCGAUAGGAAAGAUGUUUAACGUCACUAAUUAAAAAUUAUAGAAUAAAACGACAAUAAAAUACCAUGUGUUUGCCUAUAAAAAAUCUUAGCAAGAUUGAAAACAAA